UAUGAAGUUUCAUGACUCUGUAGUUUAUGUUAAUUUUUUUAACUUUUAAUUUUUUUUUUUUUUUUGCCUCCACAGAAGCACCAACGGGAUCUGCAUCAAAAGCACCAUUGGCAGUUGUGUCAGCACCCCUUGCAGUUAUUUCAGAAGCACCAUUGGCAUCAGUGUCAG